AAUAGUGUAGCUCAGAUGGCAGAGCAUUUGCUAAGCAUGCGAGAGGUUCGGGGAUCUAUACCCCCGCGCUUUCA